CCAAUAGCGUAUAUUCAAGUUGUUGCAGUUAAAAAGCUCGUAGUUGAAUUUCGGGGUCAGUAGGUUGGUCAUGCCACUGGUAUGUACUGGUCUCACUGAUUCCUCCUUCCUGAUGAACUGUAAUGCCAUUAAUUUGGUGUUGCAGGGAAUCUGGACUGUUACUUUGAAAAAAUUAGAGUGUUUAAAGCAGGCUAACGCCUGAAUACAUUAGCAUGGAAUAAUGAAAUAGGACGUUCGAUCCUAUUUUGUUGGUUUCUAGGAUUGACGUAAUGAUUAAUAGGGAUAGUUGGGGGCAUUAGUAUUCAAUUGUCAGAGGUGAAAUUCUUGGAUUUAUUGAAGACUAACUACUGCGAAAGCAUUUGCCAAGGAUGUUUUCAUUAAUCAAGAACGAAAGUUAGGGGAUCGAAGACGAUCAGAUACCGUCGUAGUCUUAACCAUAAACUAUGCCGACUAGGGAUCGGAUGAUGUUAAUUUUUUAAUGACUCAUUCGGCGCCUUACG
rnacentral:rRNA from 1 species